UACGGGGGGAGCAAGCGUUGUUCGGAUUUACUGGGCGUAAAGCGCACGUAGGCGGAUCGAUCAGUCAGGGGUGAAAUCCCAGAGCUCAACUCUGGAACUGCCUUUGAUACUGUCGAUCUGGAGUAUGGAAGAGGUGAGUGGAAGUUCCGAGUGUAGAGGUGAAAUUCGUAGAUAUUCGGAGGAACACCAGUGGCGAAGGCGGCUCACUGGUCCAUUACUGACGCUGAGGUGCGAAAGCGUGGGGAGCAAACAGG
rnacentral:rRNA from 1 species